rnacentral:lncRNA from 1 species
AGUGUCCGCUCCCUCCCCGGCGGUGCUCCCCGGGUUCUCGCACGGCGACCCGGUCAUAGAGCCGGCGUUGCUCCGGCUGUUGACUCGCUGGUGGUGGGUGAAGCCAUGGCCGCUGCGGUUGUUAUUGCUGCCGUGGUGGCGCUGUUGAUAUCCCAUUACAAAGAGAGAGAUCUAGGUUAGUGUUUUAGUUUUCUUCUUUUAGGAGAUGGGAACACUGUGGGUGGCCAUUAAUGUUGCCAAAGAAAGAAAAAAUCUGGCCUUGUAGAAAGAGGGUGAAGAGCAGCUAAUCCUGCCAUUCUAAAUAUUUUUUUUUAAAAAAAUAAAAGCUCAGGA